ACGCUGGCGGCGUGGAUUAGGCAUGCAAGUCGAACGGUAUGGACCUUUCGGGGUUCAGAGAGUGGCGAACGGGUGAGUAACACGUAGGUGAUCUACCCUCAAGACGGGGACAACCCAGGGAAACUUGGGCUAAUACCGGAUGAAAGCAGCAGCGAUGUUGUUUAAAAGAUGGCUUUCGGGCUGUCGUUUGGGGAUGAGCCUGCGCUCUAUUAGCUAGUUGGUGAGGUAAUUGCUUACCAAGGCGAUGAUAGAUAGGCGGCCUUAACGGGUGGUCGCCCACACUGGGAUUGAGAUACGGCCCAGACUCCUACGGGAGGCAGCAGUCGAGAAUAGUCUACAAUGGUCGAAAGACUGAUAGUGCGACGCCGCGUGAACGAAGAAGCCCUUCGGGGUGUAAAGUUCUUUUAUAUGUGAGCAGUGGGUUCUAUGUGAACAGCAUGGGAUCAGAGAUAUUAGCAUAUGAAUAAGCAACGGCUAACUCCGUG
rnacentral:rRNA from 1 species